UAGGGAUUGAUUUAGGAUUUAGAGUUUGGUUAGGAUUUGGUUUAGGAUUUAGAGUUUGGUUAGGAUUUGAUUUAGGAUUUAGGAUUUGGUUGCGGUUCGUUUAGGAUUUGGUUGAGAUUUGGUUUAGGAUUUGGUUUAGGAUUUAGUUAGAAUUUGAUUAGGAUUUGGUUAGGAUUUGAUUAGGGUUUAUUUAGGCAUUGAUUAGAAUUUGAUUUAAGAUUUGAUUAGGAUUUGGUUUAGGAUUUCGAGUUUGGUUAGGAUUUCAUUUAGGAUUUGGUUUAGGAUUUGAUUAGGAUUUGAUUUAAGGUUUAAGGUUUGGUUUAGGAUUUGGUUUAGAAUUUGGUUUAGAAUUUAGUUUAAAGUUUGGUUGGGAUUUGGUUUAAGGUUUGUUUAGGGUUUGGUUAAGAUUUGAUGUAGGAUUUGAAUAAAAUUUAGUUUAGAGUUUGGUUAGGAUUUGGUUUAGGAUUUAAGGUUUGAUUUAGGAUUUAGGAUUUUAUUAGGGUUGUUUUAGAUUUACGAUUUAAUUAAUUUUGGCCUAAAGUUUGAAUAAAGUCUAAUAGGAUUUUAACUAGAAUUAAAUUAAAAUUGAAUUGAGAUGUAUUUGAGAUAUACUUGUGAUCAUUCUAAUAUUUCUUUAAGAUUUCUUAUUGUUUCUUUGAAAUUUCUUUGAGGUUUCUUUGAAUUUGAUUAAAGCUUGUUUAGCAUUGUUAAUAUUCUAUUAGAAUUAAGAUUUUGUUGUUAUAAUUUCCAUUCUA
rnacentral:lncRNA from 1 species